UAGGGAAUCUUCGGCAAUGGACGGAAGUCUGACCGAGCAACGCCGCGUGAGUGAAGAAGGUUUUCGGAUCGUAAAGCUCUGUUGUUAGAGAAGAACGUUGGUAGGAGUGGAAAAUCUACCAAGUGACGGUAACUAACCAGAAAGGGACGGCUAACUACGUGCCAGCAGCCGCGGUAAUACGUAGGUCCCGAGCGUUGUCCGGAUUUAUUGGGCGUAAAGCGAGCGCAGGCGGUUCUUUAAGUCUGAAGUUAAAGGCAGUGGCUUAACCAUUGUACGCUUUGGAAACUGGAGGACUUGAGUGCAGAAGGGGGGAGUGGAAUUCCAUGUGUAGCGGUGAAAUGCGUAGAUAUAUGGAGGAACACAGGUGGCGAAAGCGGCUCUCUGGUCUGUAACUGACGCUGAGGCUCGAAAGCGUGGGGAGCAAACAGG
rnacentral:rRNA from 1 species